ensembl:lncRNA
CUCUCACACCGAGACGAGACUUACCGGUCAUAGUAUAGCACGUCAAAAUAAGACUAAACGGUCAUAGUAUAGCACGUCAAAAUAAGACUAACCGGUCAUAGUAUAGCACGUCAAAAUAAGACUAACCGGUCAUAGUAUAGCACGUCAAAAUAAGACUAACCGGUCAUAGUAUAGCACGUCAAGAUAAGACUAAAGGUCAUAGUAUAGCACGUCAAAAUAAGACUAAACGGUCAUAGUAUAGCACGUCAAGAUAAGACUAAAGGUCAUAGUAUAGCACGUCAAAAUAAGACUAAACGGUCAUAGUAUAGCACGUCGAAAUAAGACUAAACGGUCAUAGUAUAGCAUCUCAAAAUAAGAUUGAAAGGUCAUAGUAUAGCAUGUCAAAAC